AGUGAACGCUGGCGGUAGGCCUAACACAUACAAGUCGAACGGCAGCACAGGAGAGCUUGCUCUCUGGGUGGCGAGUGGCGGACGGGUGAGGAAUACAUCGGAAUCUACUCUGUCGUGGGGGAUAACGUAGGGAAACUUACGCUAAUACCGCAUACGACCUACGGGUGAAAGCAGGGGACCUUCGGGCCUUGCGCGAUUGAAUGAGCCGAUGUCGGAUUAGCUAGUUGGCGGGGUAAAGGCCCACCAAGGCGACGAUCCGUAGCUGGUCUGAGAGGAUGAUCAGCCACACUGGAACUGGGACACGGGCCAGACUCCUACGGGAGGCAGCAGUGGGGAAUAUUGGACAAUGGGCGCAAGCCUGAUCCAGCCAUACCGCGUGGGUGAAGAAGGCCUUCGGGUUGUAAAGCCCUUUUGUUGGGAAAGAAAUCCAGCUGGCUAAUACCCGGUUGGGAUGACGGUACCCAAAGAAUAAGCACCGGCUAACUUCGUGCCAGCAGCCGCAGUAA
rnacentral:rRNA from 1 species